UGGCUUUCUAACUCCCGUACUUAGCUUGACGACGCAAACUCUUCUACUUUGUCACCAUGAUGUUUUCCACUAUGAGCAAGUUGCGGGCAAGAUGGAUAACUCGGUCACUUCUUACAGCACCGUGUACGGAAAUGGGGUUUAAAGUAUACACAGCAAUUCGCAUAACAUUUAUAAACUCGAGGGAGGAUAACGAGAAUUUGCUUGAGCAGUUGGAUCGGAUUUAUUUUUUAACUCAGUGAACCAGAAGACAGGUAAAAGCGAGUACACUCCUUAUUACAAAAAUUCCUAUAAAAAGUGCCAUUUGCAAAAUUAUUUGACAGAGCAAAGUGAGUCGUCUCUAGCAGCGGUACAGCUCAAUAAUCUUCAAAGCUCGACUUAAUUUUAUUUUAAAGCUGCUGAAAAUGACUUGUAAAAUUGCCAUUUAUUGUCUUCUUCUUCUAGCCUUGAUUGGCUUGGUGUCGGCAGCUCCACAAACUGGAAGAUCGCAAGGUUUUAAACAUUACUGUGAAAAGACAACGUCGAAUGGAUCAACGAGUUUUAAUUCGGGGUCUGAAUUAGUCCAACUCCCAUCCGGAUGGAAACAAUUGACUAAAGAAUCAACCUCGACCAAAGACGGAGUAACGACGUAUACCAAAACUUGGUAUCAAUUGACUGAAGAAUCAGAAAUUGAGUGCUAAAUUCAUAUUUCUAAAACGAGAAAUACAAAAGUGUUGAAUGAA